rnacentral:rRNA from 1 species
CGGCGGAACACGUACACAACCUUCCGAUAAGUGGGGAAUAGCCCAGAGAAAUUUGGAUUAAUACCCCGUAACAUAUAGAGUAGGCAUCUUCUUUAUAUUAUAGCUUCGGCGCUUAUUGAUGGGUGUGCGUCUGAUUAGGUAGUUGGCGGGGUAACGGCCCACCAAGCCUACGAUCAGUAGCUGAUGUGAGAGCAUGAUCAGCCACACGGGCACUGAGACACGGGCCCG